AACACUUGAUCUGCACGUCUGAGGAAGUCUGGAAACAGCCAAAGCUUCUGAUGGCCACAUUUAGGAAGACAGAUUUGCAAGGACAGAACUGCUUUAACUAGAAACAUUUAUCAUCCCUGUCCAUAUCUACAGGGCCCACAAAAAUAAGCAUGUCUGGUGACAAAAGAAAAAGGGCCAGCUGGAACAAGUAAAAGAAUGCACUGCCAAAGAAUCAUAAAGGUGCACCUUAAAAGAAAGAACAAAAACCAAAAAAACCCAACAGCCAAGAACAUUAGAAGCUGCAAGAUUUUGAAAUCUGUAUCAAGUCUUGCUCAAGGAUUCAGUACAGUCAGUCAAACAGUGUUUAAUCUAAAGUGUGUUUUAAUACAGCAUCCAUUGAGUAUCCAAAUCCAAGUUUACUAAACAAAAUCUUAAAACUGAACGUUGCUGCUUGCUGGACAAGUCUGUCAAAUAAAAAGUUUAUCUCUAUGCAGAAAUAAUUCUUCCCCAACCCUUCCAAGACUGCAGCUCAGUAAUGUGCUGUAUCUAUGUAUAUUCUCCUCAGUCAGCAAAUGCAAUUUUAUUGUUACCUCUGUAAGAACUGUGGUGUCAUAUGAAGGCUGAUACUUCUCUUUUUCAUGUGCAGUUCGCUUUUCCAUCUUUUCUCUGUCUGUUUUCUGCUUUCUGUCUGCUCC